CUUCCUCCUCACCUGACACGGCCAGCGGAGCCCACGCCCCUUCUCCACGCUCCCCGGGCCACCUCCACGUCAGGGGUCCCGCCGCAGGGAUCUUGUCUGCACUGGGUGACACAGUGGAAAAAGCACUGGACUUGGGAAAAAGAAAAGUUUGGACUUUAAAUACUCGCUCGAUAUUUACCAGAUAUUUUUACAAGGGUGACUCUGCUCUGAACAGUCCUGCCUGGAUGUUUUUCCUAGAACCUUAUGUAUCUGUAAUCUUACAAACUGAAAGUUUUCAUGACUUAGGAAGGAGCUCAAUCUCUACAACUUUUCCAUCUGUGACAUCAAGGAUCUUUCAAAGGUCAAAGUACAUACAAGACCAUGAGGACCAAACCUCAAGUGCACUGCAGUGAUUUCCACAAGAACUGAAAGAAUAUAAUAGUCACAUUCUGAGAACUGGAUGGGAUCUCAAAUGUCCACGAGUCUAAUUCUCUUACUUUAAAAUAAAGCUGAUGCUCAGAAA